GACGAACGCUGGCGGCGUGCCUAAUACAUGCAAGUUGAGCGAUGAAGAUUGGUGCUUGCACCAAUUUGAAGAGCAGCGAACGGGUGAGUAACGCGUGGGGAAUCUGCCUUUGAGCGGGGGACAACAUUUGGAAACGAAUGCUAAUACCGCAUAACAACUUUAAACAUAAGUUUUAAGUUUGAAAGAUGCAAUUGCAUCACUCAAAGAUGAUCCCGCGUUGUAUUAGCUAGUUGGUGAGGUAAAGGCUCACCAAGGCGAUGAUACAUAGCCGACCUGAGAGGGUGAUCGGCCACAUUGGGACUGAGACACGGCCCAAACUCCUACGGGGGGCAGCAGUAGGGAAUCUUCGGCAAUGGACGAAGGUCUGACCGAGCAACGCCGCGUGAGUGAAGAAGGUUUUCGGAUCGUAAAACUCUGUUGGUAGAGAAGAACGUUGGUGAGAGUGGAAAGCUCAUCAAGUGACGGGAACUACCCAGAAAGGGACGGCUAACUACGU
rnacentral:rRNA from 1 species